rnacentral:rRNA from 1 species
AACGAACGUUAGCGGCGCGCUUAACACAUGCAAGUCGCACGAGAAAGGGCUUCGGCCCCGGUAAAGUGGCGCACGGGUGAGUAACACGUGGGUAAUCUUCCCUUUGGCGGGGGAUAACAUUCCGAAAGGAGUGCUAAUACCGCAUAAGACCACGACCUCGAAAGAGGUUGAGGUUAAAGCCGGCCUCUAUACAUAAGCUGGCACCAAAGGAUGAGCCCGCGGCCCAUCAGCUAGUUGGCAGGGUAACGGCCUACCAAGGCGAAGACGGGUAGCUGGGCUGAGAGGAUGAUCAGCCACACUGGAACGGAGACACGGUCCAGGCGCCUACGGGAGGCAGCAGGGGGGAAUCUUGCGCAAUGGACGAAAGUCUGACGCAGCGACGCCGCGUGGGUGAUGAAGGCCUUCGGGUUGUAAAGCCCUGUGGGGAGAGGAGAAUAUGUCGGCGCUAAUAUCGCCGGCGAUGACGGUAUCUCCUUAGCAAGCACCGGCUAACUCUGUGCCAGCCGCCGCCGUAAAAC